GAAAUGCGAUAACUAAUGUGAAUUGCAGAAUUCAGUGAAUCAUCGAGUCUUUGAACGCACAUUGCGCCCGCCGGUAUUCCGGCGGGCAUGCCUGUCCGAGCGUCAUUUCGUCCCUCAAGCCCCCGCGCUUGGUGUUGGGCGCCCCCGCGGGCCUCUCUGGCCGGCGGGCGCCCCAAGUGCAUCGGCGGUCCCGCCUGGCGGCUCCCUGCGUAGUAGAACCUCUUCUCGCAUCGGGUCCCGGGCGCGCGGCCAGCCGCUAACCCCCCCUCAAUCGUACCAACGGUUGACCUCGGAUCAGGUAGGACUACCCGCUGAACUUAA
rnacentral:misc_RNA from 1 species